rnacentral:rRNA from 1 species
UACAGAGGAUGCAAGCGUUAUCCGGAAUGAUUGGGCGUAAAGCGUCUGUAGGUGGCUUUUUAAGUCCGCCGUCAAAUCCCACGGCUCAACCGUGGAACGGCUGGGUAUACUGGCGGUCUUGAGCCACCUAGGGGCGAGCGGAACAAACGGUGGAGCGGUGAAAUGCGUAGAUAUCGUUUGGAACGCCAACGGUGAAAACAGCUCGCUGGGGGUGUGCUGGCGCUGGAGACACGAAAGCCAGGGGAGCGAACGGG